rnacentral:rRNA from 1 species
GACGAACGCUGGCGGCGUGCCUAAUACAUGCAAGUAGAACGCUGAAGGAGGAGCUUGCUUCUCUGGAUGAGUUGCGAACGGGUGAGUAACGCGUAGGUAACCUGCCUGGUAGCGGGGGAUAACUAUUGGAAGCGAUAGCUAAUACCGCAUAAGAGUAGAUGUUGCAUGACAUUUGCUUAAAAGGUGCAAUUGCAUCACUACCAGAUGGACCUGCGUUGUAUUAGCUAGUUGGUGGGGUAACGGCUCACCAAGGCGACGAUACAUAGCCGACCUGAGAGGGUGAGCGGCCACACUGGGACUGAGACACGGCCCAGACUCCUACGGGAGGCAGCAGUAGGGAAUCUUCGGCAAUGGACGGAAGUCUGACCGAGCAACGCCGCGGGAGGGAAGAAGGUUUUCGGAUCGUAAAGCUCUGUUGUAAGAGAAGAACGAGUGUGAGAGUGGAAAGUUCACACUGUGACGGUAUCUUACCAGAAAGGGACGGCUAACUACGUG